ensembl:miRNA
AAGUUCUGUGAUACACUUAGACUCUAACUGCCCGCAGUCAGUGCAUUACAGAACUUUG